ensembl:lncRNA
UAAUAUUUCGUUACAAGGCUAUUGUCCCAGCUAGGCCCGUUUAGAAGGUUUUAGCCUCCUCCGUCACUCAGCUCUUCCUAGUUAUAUGAAACAAGUGAAAAUCAGGGCUUCGUGCAUUCCUUGGAGUUGUACAGAAAGAAAAAAGAAGAACCGAGGCACCUGAAUCAAACUUAUUUUUACCAGAUGUGCUUCGGUAUUUUUCUUUUAAAGUCACGUGAAGCAGCGAGCAGAUGUUUUAGCUGCAGCUGGGGGUCCGCCUUCGCGAGAGCACAGCCGCAGAACAGCAGCUCUGACACAAAGCGCUUGGAUUUUUUCCUUAAUCAAGAAAGAGAAGAAGUUUAGACGCUGUUUUUUUAAAUGGAGAGUUUGGAGUUGUUUUGUUGGUGUUGUUAUCGAAGCUAGGAAGAAGACGAGCGCUCUCCUCCCCUUCUCUUCCCCCUCCUGCUCUGCUCUUCUGCUCGGGGAUUUCUCUUUCUGAUAGACGACUGUGCAGGAUUUGCUUUUCCUUUCUCGAGGAGAAGAGAGACAGAGACAAUGGAGAUGUUUUACACCUGGUGCUAUACAUACAGAGAGAGAGGGGUACAGAGAGAACCAGUGACUAAACGAAUUUACAGCUCAUUGCUUCUGCACUUUUGUGUGAACCCUAGCGAUGUCCAAGAAAGCAAUGUCCAGUGCCGUCCAAACCCUUUAUCCAGAAGUCCAUCUCUACCACUGCUCCUCUGCGAUGUGUCACAUUACCCAACAGGCAACACCUCUGUUCAGCUCCACUUCAGGUUCUGUGAGGGGGGUUUGUUAAUGCAGAGUGCUGCUUAAUGCAUCUUUGUCAGGACCUCCUGGAGGGGAUCUGCGGGGGGUAAAUCCAGGCCUCCAUACCCCAGGGGGUAAUUAGCCUUCAGUGACACCUCCAAACAAUCUUUUAGGCCCUUACCUCCUGGGCAGACCUUGAGCCUUAAUUAAGUUUCCUUAACUGGUGGCUCACUUGACAGUUAUCCUGCACAGUACAUACAUACCCAUGUGCAGGGCUUUUAUAAAUACACAUGAUGCUGAGACUCACCUCAUGGCUCUGGGUCUCGUGAGUAUGGUUGACUGGGUGUGUGUGUAUGAUGGAAAGCUUUGUACAAUCCAUAUGGGAAUGUGUGUGCAUGAAUGUUGGCAGCUGUGUAUGCACACAAAGGAAGUGUACAUGUGUGACUCAGGGG